CUUUGACCGGUACGGGCCAUGAGAGUGGUAGCCCGGAGAUGGACACUGAGAUAGGGGUCCAGGCCCUACGGGGCGCAGCAGGCGCGAAAACUCCACACUGUACGUAAGUACGAUGGGGUUACCUCGAGUGUAGUCUGUAAAAGAUUGCUUUUCCAUAGAGUAAUAUCCUGUGGGAAUAAGAGGGGGGCAAGACUGGUGUCAGCCGCCGCGGUAACACCAGCCCCUCGAGUGGUAGGGACUUUUAUUUGGCCUAAAGCGUUCGUAGCCGUCUGUAACCGUUGCCCGUUAAAUCCAGCGUCUCAAGCGUUGGACUGCGGGCGAUACCUUACAGAUUGAGGGUGGGAUAGGUAAGCGGUAUUUCUGGGGUAGGGGCGAAAUCCUUUGAUCCCAGGAGGACCACCAGUGGCGAAGGCUGCUUACUAGAACACGCCUGACGGUCAGGAACGAAAGCUGGGGUAGCGAACCGGAUUAGAUACCCGGGUAGUCCCAGCUGUAAACGAUGCGCGCUAGGUGUUGGGUCGGCCAUGCGCCGCCCCAGUGCCGCAGGGAAGCCGUUAAGCGCGCCGCCUGGGGAGUACGGCCGCAAGGCUGAAACUUAAAGGAAUUGGCGGGGGAGCAC
rnacentral:rRNA from 1 species